GCUCAGGCGUUGUUGGGUAGGGGAGCGUUCUGUAAGCCUGUGAAGGUGGCCUGUGAGGGUUGCUGGAGGUAUCAGAAGUGCGAAUGCUGACAUAAGUAACGAUAAAGCGGGUGAAAAGCCCGCUCGCCGGAAGACCAAGGGUUCCUGUCCAACGUUAAUCGGGGCAGGGUGAGUCGACCCCUAAGGCGAGGCCGAAAGGCGUAGUCGAUGGGAAACGGGUUAAUAUUCCCGUACUUGGUGUUACUGCGAAGGGGGGACGGAGAAGGCUAUGUUGGCCGGGCGACGGUUGUCCCGGUUUAAGCGUGUAGGUGUGUGUUCCAGGUAAAUCCGGUUCACUUUAACACUGAGGCGUGACGACGAGGCACUACGGUGCUGAAGCAACAAAUGCCCUGCUUCCAGGAAAAGCCUCUAAGCAUCAGGUAACAUCAAAUCGUACCCCAAACCGACACAGGUGGUCAGGUAGAGAAUACCAAGGCGCUUGAGAGAACUCGGGUGAAGGAACUAGGCAAAAUGGUGCCGUAACUUCGGGAGAAGGCACGCUGACACGUAGGUGAAGUGAUUUACUCAUGGAGCUGAAGUCAGUCGAAGAUACCAGCUGGCUGCAACUGUUUAUUAAAAACACAGCACUGUGCAAACACGAAAGUGGACGUAUACGGUGUGACGCCUGCCCGGUGCCGGAAGGUUAAUUGAUGGGGUCAGCGCAAGCGAAGCUCCUGAUCGAAGCCCCGGUAAACGGCGGCCGUAACUAUAACGGUCCUAAGGUAGCGAAAUUCCUUGUCGGGUAAGUUCCGACCUGCACGAAUGGCGUAAUGAUGGCCAGGCUGUCUCCACCCGAGACUCAGUGAAAUUGAACUCGCUGUGAAGAUGCAGUGUACCCGCGGCAAGACGGAAAGACCCCGUGAACCUUUACUAUAGCUUGACACUGAACAUUGAGCCUUGAUGUGUAGGAUAGGUGGGAGGCUUUGAAGCGUGGACGCCAGUCUGCGUGGAGCCGACCUUGAAAUACCACCCUUUAAUGUUUGAUGUUCUAACGUGGACCCGUUACCCGGGUUGCGGACAGUGUCUGGUGGGUAGUUUGACUGGGGCGGUCUCCUCCUAAAGAGUAACGGAGGAGCACGAAGGUUGGCUAAUCCUGGUCGGACAUCAGGAGGUUAGUGCAAUGGCAUAAGCCAGCUUGACUGCGAGCGUGACGGCGCGAGCAGGUGCGAAAGCAGGUCAUAGUGAUCCGGUGGUUCUGAAUGGAAGGGCCAUCGCUCAACGGAUAAAAGGUACUCCGGGGAUAACAGGCUGAUACCGCCCAAGAGUUCAUAUCGACGGCGGUGUUUGGCACCUCGAUGUCGGCUCAUCACAUCCUGGGGCUGAAGUAGGUCCCAAGGGUAUGGCUGUUCGCCAUUUAAAGUGGUACGCGAGCUGGGUUUAGAACGUCGUGAGACAGUUCGGUCCCUAUCUGCCGUGGGCGCUGGAGAACUGAGGGGGGCUGCUCCUAGUACGAGAGGACCGGAGUGGACGCAUCACUGGUGUUCGGGUUGUCAUGCCAAUGGCACUGCCCGGUAGCUAAAUGCGGAAGAGAUAAGUGCUGAAAGCAUCUAAGCACGAAACUUGCCCCGA
rnacentral:rRNA from 1 species